CUCGCGCUCCGGAGGCGGCCGUACAUCCCGCGCUGCCUUUUAUCGCGCCUCUCCUUCCAUACCGCGUGGAAAGCGAUUGUUUCGAAACACUUUGUAGUUGCCCUGGAAGGGUGAAGAAGUAGUGAUUCACCUGUCUAUGUGCUUGAUUUGAACACAUGUUUCAUCCUGUUCCUUCCCGUUGCAGUUAUGAACGCUAAAAGCAUUGAAUGUUAUUACGCUAACGUGGCUUCUCCACGCUUGUUAGUAGCCUCAGUUGCUUCUGAUCGCUGUCUCUUAUUUUACUUGUGUGCUCUAUGUCGCUUAUGCAGUCCAUAUCGCUGUAAGUUGCUUGAACUCUUCAGGCACCAGUAAUCACGGGCUGAAAAUCUGCUGAAUGGGAUGCUGGACCAAGCUGAAACUCCUCUGCCAAGGAAGAGCAUAUAUCCUGAGCAUAAGAUGGGGGAUUACAGGCAAAUACUGGCAUACUUGUUAUCGUGAGGAUGACUUGUUUUAGAGCAUCGUCAGUCUAACGUUUGUCAAACUUAUUUGUAUCACAGUAAAGUAGACUUUAUAAAGAGGUUUGAAGGAGGGGGAAAAAAAAGGUGUAGUCUGACAGAUGCCAGAAAGAGGAGUACUUCUCCAAGUAUAUGUAACAGCAUGAGAGCAAAAUACCAAAUUGCUUGUUAUGAUUUUGGUGCAUCUUAGAGCUACUUGUAAUAGAUUUACUGUUUGUUGCUUUGUUUGUUUGAAUUUUUUUCCUGCCAUAGUUUAGAUCUCCCUUUUUGCGAGCUCCUGUGUAUAGAUUUGUUUGUUAUUUCCUGGCAAUCAAACACACCUAUGCAUUUAGUUCUAAGCUCUUCAGUUGAACCUUAGACAUCAAAUGAAACUAGUCCUGAUCACAUCUAGCUAAAAAAGACACCCUUUCCUUCUCUCUAUUUCCCUCGCCAUUUUUUGUUAUCUCUGGAUUUCCUCUUUCUAAUCAGCUACCUGCACAGCUCACAAACGGUCCUGCGUUCCCGUACUUCUCUUUGUACCCUCCUGACACAGAUGUCGCCUAAGGAAGAGCACGCAUCUCUUUCACCUCCUUGGCUGGUGGGUCUGACUUCUGUAAGGGGAAAAAAAAAGGCAGUCCUGAUUGUAAUGUUGAUGCAUCUGGCAGAGAAAUUGCACCUUUCUUGGCAUUCUGUUGCGCAGAAGAGGGGGAGGAAGAAGUAAAAGUUUUUACCCAGCCGUAACGUACACAGGACACGAUGUACCUACCCAGAUUCCAGCCUGUGGUCUUGCUUAUCAUAUUCCUGUCCUUAGACUGUUUCCAGAGAGGAGAAGAACUCAGGAGAGAAGAGGGGAAAGGAGAGAUGAAAUCUAGGGAAUUCUCCUUUGAGAGUAUGCCCUGAUGCACUGCUCUCCCAGCUGAAGAACUGUUGUUGUUGUUGUUUUUUUUUUUUUUGGGGGGGGGGGUUAAAUUUCCAUAGCAUGUCCUACGUUUGUGUAGGUUAUCUAUUAAUUCUUGUCUUGCUUGUUAAAACUGGAGAAGACGUGCUUUGACUUUAUAACAGAAAUGAGAAAACAUGGUAUGAUUAAAAUACAUAUUGUAUUUUUAGCAACUUUUACAGAUAAAAUACAGUGGUAGCAAAUAAGAACAUUUUUGUAUGACUGAAUUUUUCAUAGAUCAUGGUCUAGGAGCUUAUGGGGUAGUGUAUCCCUUCUCAAAAUUGGAAGGGAAAUCUGGGGAUGAAUACUAGCAGUUUUAAGGAAAUCCAUCAAACCACUGAGAAACUGAGUUUCUUUCGUGGCAACGUGGACUGCUGUGCUCCACUUUGCCCUAGCAGGGACAGUUUCUGGGAUGUUCCCCAUGCAGGAAACAACCACGCAGGAUGAAGGCGUCCAAGUAUUUCUUCCUCACCUUAUCCGAGUCGUCUUAUUUCUGAUGUUCCGCCUGUAAGGCAUGAGGAGCUGGAGAAUAUGACCAAAUAGCACUUCCUAAAAGUAGGAGGGCAGAAUGUAACAAUAAUUUUCAUAUUUUAAGAGAGCUAUUAGCAUAUUUUGUUGUGAAUUCUUGAAUUUCAGGAAAAAUCCCUGAAGAAGUAAUAGUAGAACCACACUUCAACUCAGUCAUCUUCUUCAAAGAACUAGUAACAAAAAUAUCAGAAAUGGAAAUAGAAUCUGUGAAAGUACAUUAAAAUAGUGACCAAAGUAGUUACGGUUUUAUUCAUAUUCGGUUCUUUAAAUACAUAAUCCUGAUGAGGCAUGUUUAUUUUGCUAACUGGCAAUUCAUCAAUUAAAAUUAUAUUCUGCUUUCAACUUCAGGUGAGCACUGUACUUUUCUGCAUGUUCAUUUUUGUUGUUUUUCUGUUAUGGUGUUCUUGCAAUACCUUUCUCCAAGGCUUGAUGUGAUGGCUUUGCUGGCUUGCAAUGUGUCUCUGUAGCACUUAGUCAGUACAGUCAAACAAAUAAUUAAGGAUAGGAACAGAGACUCUUGUUUCUUUAAAAUGCGUUUGCCAUUAGAUUUAGCUUAAGGAAAGGGGUUUGUUUUUUUUUUUUUUUUUUUCUCCAGCUGAAUGGGCUGAAUACUUAUACAGGAAGAGGUAUCACCUUAAUCAAAAGUGACUCUGACUUUUAUUUUGGCUUGCCUAACCCUUAAUCUUUCAUUCAGAACGUUAUUUCUUCAUCUCAUUGGUUUACAAGACGGCCCACGACUGCUUUUCAAUGUUGUCUGUUCACGUCAGUGCUUGGUUCAACCAAUAAAUUUUUCUCACUUCUGGCUUCAUCGAACAUGUGUACUGUAACUGCUUUUCUGCUUAUUGUUGCUGCUACCGCAUCAUCUAUACAGUGUCCCCCCCCCCUCUCUUUUUUUUUUUUUAAAAAGCUUUAAUAGCUUUAUUCUGUUCGAAAACCUCCAUGAAUCUACACUAAUUUACAGGGAAAUGCAGAUUGUACUUAUUCCAAACCUUCGCUUAUCAUUCAGUUUUCUUUGCAUUCCUUCAUCGAGGAGUUGCAAACUGGCUGGACCAGGUUCAAUGUGCAGUGGUCAACAACCUGAAGUCCAACUGGGAGCUGCCGUUGCACCGGAGGGCAGGGUGCCAGUUAGACCUUAACAAUCUUGAGAAAUGGGCUGAGGUAAACUUAAUGAAGUCCAACAAAGGCAAAGUCUUGCCUGGGGCCAGAACAAUCCUAUGCAUGAGUACAAGCAGGGGACCCGCUGGCUAGGUAGAAACUUUGCAGAAAAAGAUCUGAGAUCCUGCCCAGAGAAGGGAGGCUACGAUGGCUGGGUGGGGUGGAGCUCAUGAGGUACCAGGAGAGGGUGAGGGGACUGGGCUUUUUCAGUCUGGAAAAAAGGCAGCUGAGGAGACUCUCAUGACAGUCUUGAACUGUCUGGAGGGAGGCUACGGAGAAGCUGGAGCCAUGCUGGAUUUACCAGUGUAUACUUUCUUGGCUUUGCUUUGCUAUACCUUGUCACAUAGCUGGUGUUCUCUCCUGUAUUACUUAUUUGCAUUCACCUUGGUUUCUAGUGAAAGAAGUAACAUCCGCUUUUGACUGCUGCAAGUGUACAAUAAUAGUAUCUGCCCACAUGCAAAUAAGUCAAGAGAAUUCAGUUUUUUGUUGAUCUAUUUCAGGGGUGUCUUGUCACUCUCUCCCCUUUCUUUUUAAUUUCAAAUCCAAACUCUUUAAUGGGUUAAAAUUUAGCAUAAAUAAUCCUUUAUUGUCUUGGGCCCCUAGUGUAGCAACAUCUGAUAUAUAUUACUUUUUACAGUGUCAGCGAGGACAGCAAAAUGGAAUUCUGUGCAGUUUUGUCUGUGUAGGUUAACAUCCUGUGCAAAUGGCAGUCUAGUGCUGCGCGAGGUACCUGAUAUAAAGUAUAAGCUAGUCCCUCUUCAUUUUCUCUGUCUUGACUAUCCAUGUCUAUUACAUUACUGUAGGAGAUUACAUGCUAAAGUAGUAUGUACUUGCAUGCUAAAAUACAAAUCCCUGUUUUUCUGUCAAAACCUUUUUAUGUGAAUGUGCAUAUCAGACUAUGAAGAUGAAUCUCCAGUAAGAGUCCUACAUGACCUGCAUUGUGAAGUCAGGACUCUGAAGGGAGAUGUUAAUGCCAGUCUUGAUAAGAGUUGCUCUGAAAGGCAAGAGAUUCAUGACUUCGUGAAGGCGAGUGAAAUACUGAUGCAAAGAAAUGCAGCAGAUCUUGGAAAAAUAAGAGAGCUGUUCCAGAAAUAUGGCUAUAAACCACCUGUCAAAGACUCCACAGAGGCGGAGAAAGAGCAGGAGGAAAUUAACAGUGAAUCAAAAGCGUCUGUCCAGAAUAAAUCUGAUCAAGAGAAAGUAGAUGAUGUGCCUCAUCUUGCUGCUUGUACUGAGAAUCCACUGGUCCCCAGAGACCUUCUGCGUAAUCCCCAGCUUUCUGAUUUUGGUCUUUCACAGUAUGCUUUCUCCAGGUCUUGGAGUGCGACAAAUGGGCAACACCCAACAAAUGGACAUCAAGAAAAUUCAAAAAACAGGACUCCGCUAAAAACAGAGCCCCCCUCUGUUUUGCCCAAAACACCAAAAUGUAUGCUAAGGAUGGAUGACUAUGAGUGUUUAACCCCCAAACUUGAACAUUUUGGCAUUAGUGAACAUACCAUGUGUAUGAAUGAAGAUUAUACAAUGGCACUUAUUCAUAAAACUGCUCAGACAAGCAAAAACUUACCUAAGAAAGAUGAUCCUGAAGUGAAUGCAGCAGAAAUGACAUCCAGGGAAGUCAUGGUUACACCUGGGGCAAAAACAAGAGAGACUGAUGGGAAUGCAGCUGAUUGUAUGGCUUCUCCUCUGAAACCUGUGUUCUGUACACCGGGUGUGAAAAUCCCUUCCAGAGCAGAUAACAUGGUAUUAUCAAAAUCACCAGAGACAAAUGAAAUACUUCUUCCUGGUCAUACAAGAACACCGCCACUUCCAGAUUUUGAAACAAGAUGGCUGAAAAUAGAAACUAAGCAGGGGAAAAAGACUGAAUCGGUGACAGAGAAUGAUGCGACAAAUAAGCUAUAUGUAGAAGAUAGCAUUCCUUCUGCUGUAAGCUCUGAUGAAUACCUUAAACAUUUUGAAGACCCUUCUCCUCCUAAAAUAAAGGACUAUGAGCAUUUAAUAAAUACUCCUCCACCUCCAGAAAUAACAAAAAUACCAGAUGAUGUUCUACAGAUUCUAUCAAAGUAUAAUCAAAAAAUAGACUCUUCUAAAGCCAAGAAGAUGGAGACCAAAGCAGGAAAUGCUGCAAGAUUUGAAAGUGAUUUCACAGACUAUUGCAACAAAGAGAACAGAGGAUAUCCUGGAUUUAUCAAGCCAAAUGUUUGAAAUCAAGCUGGAGACCAUGCAGAGCCUGUUUCACAUUAUGGAUUCUAUCACUGAGUUGUAGCAAGCUCAAAAAGCAAAAGAUGAUAUAGAAGAUACUGUGAGGGAAAGGAAGAGGGAGGAGUAAAGACCCAUGCAAAGGAAGGAGGUAUUUUUAUGGGGAGAGCUUGAUGUGGAUCAACUUGUUAAAACUAACAACUUUGUGCUUAAAUUUUUCAUUGAGAUUACUUAUAUCUUGUAUGUGUUGUUUUCAAUAUGUAUAUGCCUCAGAGAGGACUGGGGCUGUCUGCUGUAUAGUACCUCUGUUGUUCAGUUCUCUUGUUUGUGUGUAUGCUUGCAUUUGCAGUAGGCUGUAGAGAAGCGUAGUUAGGUUACAAUAAAGGAACAGUUCAGUAUAUUGCCUUAGAAAGUGAAUCUCUCUGGAUGUUCUGAUGACACUGUAUCUUUUCAGCACUGAGUUUGAAAAUGUACUACUUCAGCAGUGUUUGAUAUCUUCAGCAGAAAAGUAAGUUGUUUUUUUUAUGUGAAAAGUAACUACUGUUUUACUAUUUAAUGCACUUCUAUGAUAUUUGUCACUUCUGCAGUGUUAAGGAUUAUCAAAGAGAGAUUCUUUCAUCAGGCUCUCUCUUACCCAUCUGAUUGUCAGGCAUCAGAAAUGCUUCUCUUGCAAUUAUGUUUUAUUGCGUAGACAUCAUGUUAGGUACUGUACAUCUGUGUCCCUUUGGACAGUCUAACCUCUAUAGCCCUAAAGGAUGACUCUGUCCUGAAUAUGAAUUAUUUGAAAAUAUUGUGUAGUUGGUACUGGUCAUGUAUCUGAUGUGUCUCUGGCUGAUAAAAAAGAUUUGCCGGCGGGUAGAUGAUUGCUUUGCUCUCCCCUGUGCUGUUGCCACAGCUGGUGUCGUUUCCAAUAAUGCAAAUACCUUCCUUCAGUAGCUGACCAAACUUAAGCUCUCAGACCUGUUUGGUGCUUUUUUGGUCUCUGGUAGUCAUAGCAACUGGUGCUUUUUCCAAAAGAGACUUUAUUCCUGUCAAGGAUACAUACUUAGGACUUCUUUUUGUUCAGAGCUGAUUUGCCCUUACUAGUGCCAGCUGUCCAUGAUUCCUCUGAGUGACCCCCAGUACUGCUCUUAAUUAGUUGUAUGUGGUCUUCUGUUGACUGUUAAAAUUUUAUCGCUCACGUAUGGGUAUGCAACAGAUGAGAAUGGAGUAACUGACGGAGGAGAUGGGGAGAAGCGCGUACUGUUCUGAGUUUUCCGAACACAGCUCCACGUUCUUUGAAGUCCUAAGGGUGUGAAAACAUCUGGAGACACCUGGAGAUAUUUCCCCAGCUGCUUAGAGGGCUAAACCUAGCAAGUGUAGAGGCCAGUCACUUUCUGGGGUGGGUAUAGGUCAAAUUAACCGGAGAACCUGAUUUUCUACUGGUUCUAACCUGAGCACACUGUCAUUUUCCGGUGCCAGCUUCUGUUUAAAAAUACGUAUUAUUGUAUGCCACUUUCUGAGUCUGAUCAAUACUUUGAAUGCUAAGUAAAUUUCUUGUCUCAGAAGCUUUUUUUUUGCUUGGCAACUAAUCGGAUGCCCCUGUAAUAAACUUACUUGUUCUACCCAACUUCAUCAAAUAGUGAAGGCUAGACCUACUUCCAACAUCUUCAUAGAUGAACAACUAGUUGGCAGGCUGGGUGCUAGUCAUUGAAUUUCCCAGGCCCAAAAAGGUACAAGGUAUUUUUGAGAGUGAGAAUCCUCGAGCCAGGCAGACUUAACACUAAGCAGGAGGGUUCUCACAGCCUACAUUCUCCCUACACAGCACUCCAUGGCUGUUUAAUGCUGCUAUUUUUUUGUCUGAGGCAAUUCAAACAGGCUGAAAGACUGUUUCACAUCAACAGUAGCAAGCAGCCCUGCUGUCCAGGACUUACUAGAUUAUUUUCAACCUUUCAAUUAUCAGCUCUUUUGUGAAUUCUGUUAAGUCUUUGCCUAAAUUUGAGAACAACAUCGCACUACGCUAUCUUUCUCCCCAUUUGGGGAUUAUGCUGUUAUACCUAGCAGUGUUUGGGUUCUCACUAUGAGCCACUUGAAUCGUCUUUCUUUUUAUUGCCCUUGAAACAAUGAUUUUUACUAUUUUAUAGCUGUAUCAUUGACUGGUAUGAAAGAGUGAUUCAGCUAAUAUUUUGAGAUACAGAUUUUCUCGAAGGUGGCAGCUGAAAUCGUAAUAGCUUGAGCAGGCCAUAAGGUUUUAUGAUAAUGAUGUUGGCACAGGGUUUACAAGUAAGGUUUGACAAGUUCGUUUUGUUUUGUUUCUUGCCUACAAAAUUACCCUAGUACAAGUAAUAUUACUGUAUGUACUUAUGCUUCUGAUGUAAAGGGGAAUAUCUCACUGAAGUGGUUGUAGUCAGCAAUAAUACAGACUAGUUUUCCGGUAACUACAGCUUAAGCUGUAGUUUGAGUAUCUGGGUAGGGAGCAGCAAUUGGCAGAAGUGAAAACAGCAGCCUGGGAAACUGAUCCUGAUCUAAAAUAACUCCAGGGAAAAUAAUUGUUUUUAUUCAGAUUAGUUCCCUCAUACAAGUUGCUUUGUGUCCAUACAGUGAACAACACAAAUGGAGAUACUGCAACGAUCACUAAUUUAACCAGGGGGCUGGAUGAGGUUAAGACCCUUUUAAAGCCAGUAUUGCUCCAGAAGAAAUGCUUGUUCAGCUGCAUACUAAAAUAGUAGAACAGACAGGCCAGAGGUUCUAUGAUAUAAAAGAAGUUGAAACAAAAGUUACAUGUUGAUAUUCAUUGUGGGAUGAAUCUGACAACAGUGGUAGCCUGUCAGGAAGUGCAGUUGGGAUAAACAGCAGCUAAAUAAGUAACAGCCACACUAGUUCUGCGAGGGACAGUAGUGGCCUGAAAAUAGGCAGAGCUGAGUCAAGGUACAGCUGGGUGUUAUGCUUAAUCUAAUCUAAUUGUUAGAGGCUCUUUCACCGCUUCUCUUGCAUGGAACUAACCCACUGUAAAACUGCAUGACCUCUAAAUUCUGUUUGAGCCACUGAAAGACUAGUAUCUUGGUUUCUUUCCUGUUUGUCCUUUCCACGGAGAUCAGUGAUCUUAAACUCACAUCUGAUCGUGCAGGCAGAAGUUGAGGGAAGGGUGAGAAUGGGACCACAUCUUCCAGUGGUAGCCUGCAGUCAGAGCAGAUUGACACACCUUGGCAUGAAAUCACACCUCAAUAUUUAGAAACCUCUGGGAGGCAACCAAAAGAGCGUGGCUUUUAAUUUUCUUUCAUUCACUACAUCAUUCUUCAUCUCUUUGCAUUGGCUGCAUUACCUAAAAUGUGUCAGCUAAGAGAAGCUUCUCUCUUUAACCACAUUUAUUAUCAAAGAAAUGUCUCAAAUUGUUCUGCCCAGGAAGUCCCUUAAAGUAGUAAAUGCUUUGCUAUCUUGGAAAUAUUUUGCCUGAGGUUAAACACAAAUACAGAUCUCACAGUGAAAUUAAACUUCCUAGGUGGCUGUCAAAUGAACAAAUGACAAGCAUUGCUUUUAGGGCCUCCUGUUGUGCUUUUACUGAUGUUUUUAUAAAUCACUGGAAUAGUAACUAGAGUCCGGAUUUGUUUGGUUAUUCAUGAAUGCUUUGAAUUUUCCAUAAGAUGUGAAAUUUGCAUUGUUCUCUGUUUUAGAAAAACCUUUUGUCAUUAUUCAGCCAUUACAGUAUUCGUGGUGGUUGCAUGUGUCCCAGCAACAUCUAUAGUUGAUGUUGGAGCUACCCUGUAUUUUGGGAGCAUCAUUUACAGUCCUGUGCCUUGUUUCUCCAUAGGAUAGCAAUACAGAGAUUGUAGCAUGUGUGAGGAACAGUGACAACAGCCAGCAGCCACACUAUGGAAUCUCAUAUACACUGUUCUGCAGAAAUACACCUUCUACUAAGGAGUUGGGUGUAUUUGAGUAAGGCAAGCGUGCUGAAUCAGUCAUUUCUCUGAGAAGAUCCGCAGCUCUUCAGUAUCCUGGGACAUAGGGUGCCACAAAGACCACUUCAGAACAUCAUGUAUUGGCAUCAUCCUUGUACAAGAUGGACCAGCUGCCCGUUGCCCUGGAAAGUUGCAGUGUCCUGCCCUCACCCUCACUCUCCUGCUGGAGGACAGCCAGCUUUACACCACUCUACCUUCUACAUCAACACAUCCACGUCAGCAGGGAGAGCAACACCCAGCUGGCCUACCUACAGCCAUACUCUUCACAGGCUCAUCCUCCCAAAUCUGGCCAUCAGUGGUUUAAAGAAUCUUCCUGGGAAAGGAAUCCCUAUUAGGCCACCUGCCCCUAUACAACAAGCCCAAAAAGUUACCACACAAAGGCUUCGGGCCCUACUUUUAUAGAUGGAAGUCUGCUUUUAAGCAGAAGUUGCAGAAUUUCUCUGCAGAAAUCCAGUUUAAAACAAACCAAAAAAAAAAAAAACCAUAACGCCAUCCGAGUCAAAAGAUAACAUCAAUCUUUAUUCCAAACAAGACAGAACUACAGAACACCUUUAAUAUUUCUGGUCAUAUUUUACAGAAAUUUUGAAACACUGGACACACCAACUUACUUUUUAAACUAUAACAAUCAGGAAAAGAAUGAUGAUGCUUCUAAAAAUUUUUCCUUCAAAAGAAAAAAAA